rnacentral:rRNA from 1 species
AUGUACCUACGGGAGGCAGCAGUGGGGAAUAUUGCACAAUGGGGGGAACCCUGAUGCAGCAACGCCGCGUGAGUGAAGAAGUAUUUCGGUAUGUAAAGCUCUAUCAGCAGGGAAGAAGAUGACGGUACCUGAGUAAGAAGCCCCGGCUAACUACGUGCCAGCGGCCGCGGUAAUACGUAGGGGGCAAGCGUUAUCCGGAUUUACUGGGUGUAAAGGGAGCGUAGACGGCGAGGCAAGUCUGGAGUGAAAGCCCGGGGCUCAACCCCGGGACUGCUUUGGAAACUGCCUGGC